AUUGAACGCUGGCGGCAGGCCUAACACAUGCAAGUCGAACGAGUGGCGGACGGGUGAGUAAUGUCUGGGAAACUGCCUGAUGGAGGGGGAUAACUACUGGAAACGGUAGCUAAUACCGCAUACCAUCGGAUGUGCCCAGAUGGGAUUAGCUAGUAGGUGGGGUAAAGGCUCACCUAGGCGACGAUCCCUAGCUGGUCUGAGAGGAGGACAAGCAAAACUGAAACUGGAAAACGGUCAAGACUCUUACGGGAGGCAGCAUGGGGGAAUAUUGGAAAAUGGGGGAAAGCCUGAUGCAGCCAUGCCGCGUGUAUGAGGAAGGCCUUGGAGUUGUAAAGUACGUUCAGCGAGGAGGCGGUACCCACAGAAGAAGCGCCGGCUAACUCCGUGCCAGCAGCCGCGGUAAUAC
rnacentral:rRNA from 1 species